rnacentral:rRNA from 1 species
GACGAACGCUGGCGGCGUGCCUAAUACAUGCAAGUCGAACGAGAGCGACCGGUGCUUGCACUGGUCAAUCUAGUGGCGAACGGGUGAGUAACACGUGGGUAACCUGCCCAUCAGAGGGGGAUAACAUCCGGAAACGGAUGCUAAAACCGCAUAGGUCUUCGAGCCGCAUGGCUUGAAGAGGAAAAGAGGCGCAAGCUUCUGCUGAUGGAUGGACCCGCGGUGCAUUAGCUAGUUGGUGAGGUAACGGCUCACCAAGGCCGUGAUGCAUAGCCGACCUGAGAGGGUGAUCGGCCACAUUGGGACUGAGACACGGCCCAAGCUCCUACGGGAGGCAGCAGUAGGGAAUCUUCCGCAAUGGACGCAAGUCUGACGGAGCAACGCCGCGUGAGUGAAGAAGGUUUUCGGAUCGUAAAACUCUGUUGUUAGAGAAGAACAAGUGCUAGAGUAACUGUUAGCGCCUUGACGGUAUCUAACCAGAAAGCCACGGCUAACUACGUG